rnacentral:rRNA from 1 species
AACGAACGCUGGCGGCAGGCUUAACACAUGCAAGUCGAACGCACCGCAAGGUGAGUGGCAGACGGGUGAGUAACACGUGGGGAUCUGCCCAAUGGUACGGAAUAGCUCCGGGAAACUGGAAUUAAUACCGUAUGAGCCCGCAAGGGGAAAGAUUUAUCGCCAUUGGAUGAACCCGCGUCGGAUUAGCUAGUUGGUGUGGUAAAGGCGCACCAAGGCGACGAUCCGUAGCUGGUCUGAGAGGAUGAUCAGCCACACUGGGACUGAGACACGGCCCAGACUCCUACGGGAGGCAGCAGUGGGGAAUAUUGGACAAUGGGCGCAAGCCUGAUCCAGCCAUGCCGCGUGAGUGAUGAAGGCCUUAGGGUUGUAAAGCUCUUUCGCCGACGAAGAUAAUGACGGUAGUCGGAGAAGAAGCCCCGGCUAACUUCGUGCCAGCAGCCGCCGCGGUAA